UUCAACUUUGGAUUUGCCGUGUUCGCAAAACAUCGAUGCUACCUUUCAAUCUAUAUUUUAAACGAUGACAUGUCACAUAUUUUAUAAGAUACCGUCCUGUUGUCUUCUGUCAAUAUCCAUACAGUCGUUGUGUUUGAUUUCAGAGCUAUUUGCUUAUCGGUCAUUUAUAAAUAGCUAAUGUUUCUAAGCUAGCUGGAAGCUAAUGUCAACAAGUUAGUUGAUGCACGGAGAUCUUUAUGCUAUCUAACUAGAUCCAAUAAUGGACUACGAGGCAUUCAAAUGCUGAUGUUCAUGGCUUCAGGUAUUACUUAAGUAGAAUUUGGGAUUUUUGUGCCAUUGAGUGUCUACUGUGUCGUGUGUCGAGUCGACACAGGCUAUCACAAGUACAGUCUCCGAGGAUGUCAUUUGUUGUUUUUGGGUAGUAUACAAUGGUGAUGUUACCUGCUCAUUUCUUGUUAAGCUGACAUUAAGCUUACAUUACUCGUGUAUCUUUACGAUAGCUAGAUUCACAAUGAACUGCGAGGCAUUGAAAUGGUGAUGUUCAUGUUGUCAUUUUUCUGUUCGGAUCUAGGUUCUAGCAGAUUGUUGGUGGAGACCGCUACAGCAGGCUGGUGCAGACUGGUGGUGUUGGUGGGGACCGCUACAGCCAUCGGAAGGGAUUUGGCAGGAGGUGGAGCCUUCUUUGCUUGACUUUUACUGCCAAGGUAGCUUUUUCCCUUCCCAUGGUUCUUCCCUUUCAUUAUUGAUGCAUUUACCUGCAAUCCUGAGCCUCAACCUGGUGUAUUUGGUGAUCACUCUCCUCUUGACAUCAUGGCAGGAUGGAAGGUUUGAUUUCACAGUCAUGGCCUCUUCCACUAGUUCACUGACUGAGCACUCCAUUAGGGCUUCUGAUGUCCUGGCCCGGAACAGCUGCUCAACGUGCUGCAGUAAAGAGAAUACAUCCGCAGAUGGCUGGUGAAGUGCGCCCUCUCUGUACUCCUUCAUCUGCAGCAGUGUGGCGUUGUCCGGUACAGCGUCGUCACUGUUCCUUAAGGCAGGCUUACAGGCCGAACACAAAGAGCCGCCUAGUACACCCUUGAUGACGUAUCCGGCCAGAUGGUAUAGCACACAGGACUCCGCUUUUGUGGAAAUGAUUCUGCUCCUACUGCAUGAGACUGCUGCUGUUGAUGGGGAAGUGCUUUUGCCAGAAAUGGCUUAGUUGCAGGUGGUGGCUUUCUUGAGUUGCACUGAUAAGGUAACCUAACUAACCUUUUGAGGACCCUUACAGUAAGUAAUAUUAUAUCUGUGUCUAACAUUUUGUAUUUCCGGUGAUUGAGGUCUUUAGCUGCAAAAUGUAUAGGACUUUGGUCAGACUAGUAGGGCCGGAUAUAUGUGCACAGCAACAUAGUUGUCUUUUUUUUGUUUCUAUACGCCAUCCCAAUGGAAUUCAAAUGAAACUACGGUAACAAGAGAAUAAAAGUGCCUUUCAAAACAUUCAAGGAUCAGAGAGAAGUAAUAAUAAAACGAAGACACAUUAACACAUUUUUAACAAAAAUAAAACGGUAGUUAAAAAGUCCUAAGGAAUAGGCUAACUGAAACAAAUGAGUUUUUAGUCUGCAUUUGAACUUGGGUAAUAAGUCAGGGGGCAGUGCAUUCCAGAGCUGAGGAGCAGAGCAACUGAAAAGCUCUAUUCCCCAUGGUACUGAGAUGGGCAGAGGGACAGAGAGGAGGAUGGUCGAGGACAAACCGAGGUAGCGAGAGGGAAUGGCAAGGCAAGAUUGUUGCAAGAUUGUGAAUGGCCUGGAAGGUGUGCAGGACAGGAGUAUUUUAAGAAGCACAGGGUAUUGAGCACUCAGAGACAUAGCCAAGGUAAGAAUGGAAGACGCCGAACAACCAUUCAACAAGUUAAUUGAGUCAAGACUGGGUCAUGAAAUACCAGAGGACAGUUUUCAAAGGUAUGGACUAGUGAAAGUGACUGUUGACAGACAGGGUGUCAAGACAAUGGUAUUUGUGUCGUAUUCGUGGGUAAGCGGUUAGGGUGUCAGACUUGUAGCCCAAAGGAUGCUGGUUCGACUCCGACCCGCCAGGUUGGUGCGGGGAGUAAUUAACCAGUGCUCUCCCCCAUCCUCCUCCCUGACUGAGGUACCCUGAUCAUGGUACCGUCCCGCCACACUGCGCCAUUGGGGACUGCCCCCUUGCAUGGAUGAGGCAGAAAUGCAAUUUUCUAGUGUGCAGUGUUCACUUGAAUUUUGUGGAGUACUGUGUCACAGUGAAUUUAAAUGUAUUACUUUAAUAAAUGUUAAUGACAAGUAGGAAUGGGCAGCAUAGUUGCAAUGCCUAGUCUUGCCACCCUUGUAAGAUCAGAUAACUAACUUUUAGUGUCUGUUUUCACAGAAAUUUGUCUAGCGUGACACUUCUCCACAAUCCACAUGUAAACAGGCAUUUAAAAACAAUAUGGCCAUUGGUCUUGUCCUCUAGGUCCUCUAGGCCCAAGCUGUUAGGGCAGCACAGUACAAUAAAUUAAGUUGCCAAAAAAAAAACUUAAAAUAUUCCUCUGUGGUAUUAAAAAAAAUAUGCUUUCCAUGUAGAUGUGUGCAUUCUACUGUUCUCCACUUCUGUGAAGCAAUACUAUAGGAUGAGGGUGAAAAUGGUGUU